GAUGAACGCUAGCUACAGGCUUAACACAUGCAAGUCGAGGGGAAACGACAUCGAAAGCUUGCUUUUGAUGGGCGUCGACCGGCGCACGGGUGAGUAACGCGUAUCCAACCUGCCCACCACUUGGGGAUAACCUUGCGAAAGUAAGACUAAUACCCAAUGAUAUCCCACGAAGACAUCUGAAUGGGAUUAAAGAUUUAUCGGUGAUGGAUGGGGAUGCGUCUGAUUAGCUUGUUGGCGGGGUAACGGCCCACCAAGGCAACGAUCAGUAGGGGUUCUGAGAGGAAGGUCCCCCACAUUGGAACUGAGACACGGUCCAAACUCCUACGGGAGGCAGCAGUGAGGAAUAUUGGUCAAUGGGCGAGAGCCUGAACCAGCCAAGUAGCGUGCAGGAAGACGGCCCUAUGGGUUGUAAACUGCUUUUAUAAGGGAAUAAAGUGGGUCACGUGUGACUUUUUGCAUGUACCUUAUGAAUAAAGACCGGCUAAUUCCGU
rnacentral:rRNA from 1 species